rnacentral:rRNA from 1 species
UACGUAGGGUGCAAGCGUUGUCCGGAAUUAUUGGGCGUAAAGAGCUCGUAGGCGGUUUGUCACGUCUGCUGUGAAAUUUCGAGGCUCAACCUCGAACUUGCAGUGGGUACGGGCAGGCUAGAGUGCGGUAGGGGAGAUGGGAAUUCCUGGUGUAGCGGUGGAAUGCGCAGAUAUCAGGAGGAACACCAAUGGCGAAGGCACAUCUCUGGGCCGUAACUGACGCUGAGGAGCGAAAGCGUGGGGAGCAAACAGG